rnacentral:misc_RNA from 1 species
ACUUUUAUGUUAUAUUAAAUAUUAUUAUUUUGUUUAUUUUAAUAUAAAUAAUUAAUAUUUUAAUAACAGAUUAAUAGUGUUUAACUAUUUGAGAGAGAGCGAUAACAGGUCUGUGAUGCCCUUAGAUGUCCGGGGCUGCACGCGCGCUACAAUGUAGUGAUCAUUAUGUUCCUGUUUAGAGAUAAAUGGGUAAACAUUGAAAACAUUACGUAACUGGGAAUGAAAAUUGCAAUUAUUUUUCAUGAACGAGGAAUUCCAAGUAAACGUAAGUCAUUAGCUUACAUUGA